rnacentral:lncRNA from 1 species
CUCCACCACCCUGUCUUGCAACGCUGGUAAUCGUAUCCAGUCAAUAGUAAGGUCGAGCCUCUCGGAGAAUGCCGAACCACCCCUGCUUUUAAUAGGCUUGGUCAGUGCUCCCUCAACAUUAGCAUGUACAUAGAAAUGUGAUAAUUCUUUUAGAAGCUCUUGAGUCCGAUGAUUAAAUCAACACAUAACUUUUAGUGUUUAGUACUUCUAUUUUAUUUCUCAAAAAGAUGUUCAUCUUGCGAUGUUUACCAACAGCAAAAUUGGAUAUUAGUCAGUGCAUUCAUACUGAACAACGUUCUUUAUUUCUGCUCAUUUGGACUUGAUGCCCAACACGCACAGGUGUUGUUAGAAAUUAGCAAAAUCAUGUGCUCCUAUGAACUAGGACAGACAUCGUUUUGCUAACUAACCAAUAAUACUGGUCAUUAGGGUAGUAGGCAUAACAAUAUGCACUAGAUGACACUACCGGUGCAUAGGAUCGAUCGCAAUUGGCACACAACAUAUUGGAGGAGUACCUGGCAUAAUCACCAUGACCUUUAAGUAUUUACUUGACUAUUCUAUCAACCGGUGGUAUAUCACGGGUCAGAAUCAUAUUGGUUUGUACAUUCAACUAAUAAAACUAUUUAUAUUAAGUUGUAUGUGUUUUCUCUUUCCUCAUUUUGUGACACAAUAAGCAUGAUGGAUACUGUGUAGUUUCUAUCUAGUUCUGAAACACUACCGAUUACUAAUUUUUGUCAUUCAUAUCAAUAGUUUUUCUCGGUGCAUGGCACCUAUGUGUAUCUUCAACAUGCAUUAAUUGAAAACAUAGCUUAUAGUAUGCUGGCUCUUGUUCUAGCACAUCUUAUUUUGGGGGAAGGCGCCCCCAGAAGGACACCCCGCCUGGCACUCGGCCUCCCUUGGGUCCAUAUUAACGCUUCGCUUGCGUGUGAUGACACCAUCGCGCUGAGGGUUCUAUUCUGCUCCCUCCUUUCAGGUACCUACGGUGGAGACUAAGUCAAGGUAACAGAUGAUGAGGAUUUGAGGAUGGCAGAAGAAUAUAUAGAUGCACUGGCGGGAAGUAGAGCUUCCCUCAAUGCUGGCGACAGCAACGUUAGGGCUCGAAGUAGUUGGCUAGAACAUGGAGGAUUACCUCCGUGCCCUCAGGUAGUGUAUUAACAUUGUAAACCAUUGAGCAACCCUUAUGUAAUUUCACAAGUGCCCCUAGUUAUGGCCUACAAAUACCCAGAGGCGUUGUUGUUCAGGUAGAGUUUUUUGGCAAUCUAAUGGCUAUUUAAUCUGCAUUUAUUUUCCA